rnacentral:tRNA from 1 species
AAGUAGGAAGCAAACGAUUGCACUCAGUUUCGACCUGAGCCUUUGGCCUCUUGGCCCCUACUUGU